rnacentral:rRNA from 1 species
CCUGGCGGCCAUAGCGGCGUGGUACCACCCGAUCCCUUCCCGAACUCGGUAGUGAAACGCGCCUGCGCCGAUGAUAGUGUGGGGCCUCCCCAUGUGAAAGUAGGUCACCGCCAGGC